rnacentral:rRNA from 1 species
UGGGGAAUUUUGGACAAUGGGCGAAAGCCUGAUCCAGCCAUGCCGCGUGAGUGAAGAAGGCCUUCGGGUUGUAAAGCUCUUUUAGUCGGAAAGAAAGAGUCGCAAUGAAUAAUUGUGAUUUAUGACGGUACCGACAGAAAAAGCAGCGGCUAACUACGUGCCAGCAGCCGCGGUAAUACGUAGGGUGCGAGCGUUAAUCGGAAUUACUGGGCGUAAAGGGUGCGCAGGCGGUUUUGCAAGUCAGAUGUGAAAGCCCCGGGCUUAACCUGGGAAUUGCGUUUGAAACUACAAGGCUAGAGUGCAGCAGAGGGGAGUGGAAUUCCAUGUGUAGCAGUGAAAUGCGUAGAGAUGUGGAAGAACACCGAUGGCGAAGGCAGCUCCCUGGGUUGACACUGACGCUCAUGCACGAAAGCGUGGGGAGCAAACA